rnacentral:lncRNA from 1 species
GGCGGCAGCAGCAGCAGCAGCAGCAGCAGCAGCAGCAACUGGAUUUGCUUUUUCACCAGAGGAUCCAGAUUUCCCUGUGGCCUUGCAAACAAAAAAGAAGGAAGACGGAGCAGCACAGUCAUCCCUUUGUGAAAAAAGCAUUCAGAGACGGGGUUUCACCGUGUUAGCCAGGAUGGUCUCGAUCUCCUGACCUCGCGAUCCGCCCGCCUCGGCCUCCCAAAGUGCUGGGAUUACAGGCGUGAGCCACCGCGCCCGGCCUCAGCUGGUUUUUCAAAAGUCAUGGCGUGUAAUUGUCAGAACAGUGAACUUCGGAGAUCCACCGGAGGGGCGAGGCCACAGCUCGACCGCGAGCACCUGAGCAUCCUGCACCGCCUGCGACGGCCGUCAGGGGGCGCGAUGCCGCCUCACAGAACCUCAAGCGGCGCCCGGGUUCCGGCACAGACGGCCUGCGGCUCCAGGGGGCGGAGCCGAGCCGUCUCCUCAGGACCUACGCAAGAGGCGCCGUCAUCCCUACAGGGACACCUGAGAGGGCCCAGCCUCCUCCUCCUCAGGACCCACUCGGGAGACGCCGCUGGCUCUCUAGGAACACCUGGGGACCGUGGCCAGGGACGACCCAGCCUCCUUCUCCUCAGCUCCUCAGGAACGACUGGGGAAGCUGUGGCUUCAUGGUCCCCGAGGCUGCCCGAGGAAAGGUAUUUCAGGACAGCCAGGAGGGGGCGCACAUCCGCCGAGAAACUGUGAGCAAGAGCGUCUGUGCUGAACCAUGGCGCCACCAGAGGGCGCGCGAUCCCGCCCCAACCAACUUCCCGCUGAAGUGCCAGAAGCAGCGAGGAGCUUCAACUUCCUCAGGGCAGCACGGGGGUCGUGUUAAUUUGGUGUUCUUCAUUG